rnacentral:lncRNA from 1 species
AUUCAAGAUGGCUGCCGUUACCAUGGAAACGGAACAAAUGUGAAAAAAUCCAGUUUUUUGUUUUGGUGAACUGUUUGGAUAUGCUUUAACUCAGAAUCAUUAUAUUUUAAUACAAUGUAGGUGCCCACUAUAUACAGGUGUUGGAUGAUUUUGGCACUCAUUGGAACUACUAUGUUGCCAUGGAAACUACUCCAAAAAAUUCAAAAAUCUCAAAAUGUUCCAAACUUAAUGAAACUUCACAGUAACGAUGAGCAACAUUGGAAGAUGUGGAAUUUGGCGUUGGAAUUUCCAAAAUCGCUGUUGUUACCAUGGAAACAAUGCAAAAAGGUCAAAACUUUGAAUUUUCAACAGAACAUUCCAGAACAUCAAUGUUAAAUUUAUUCUAGAGACAUUAAAUGGUAUAUGAUUAUGGAGGGAAAAAAAUUGCAGCGGGGUUUGACUUUGGAAUAUUCAAAAUGGCCGCCGUUACCAUGGAAACAGCAAAAAUAUGAAAAACUUCAAAAUGCUUCAAAUUUAAUUGAAACUUAUAACAAAUUGUUGCUCAGCUUAUGUAGACUUGACUUUUGAGUUUGGAAUUUUCAAAAUGGCCGCCGUUACCAUGGCUACCGCUCACCUGGCAAUAGGGGAAGGGUGCCAUCCGCUAUUGCUUGCAAUCGCAAAUCUAGUUUUUAUUAUUAUUAUUCCACACUUUUUUGUCCAGACUAUUUUCAGAAUAGGAUGGACAAUUGUUAUGGAACUUUACAAAUGUUAAUGGCCAUGUGCAGAAGUGCAGUCGAGUGUUUGCAUAUCCAAUAUGGCUGCCGUUGUCAUGGAAACAGAAAGAAUGUGAAAAAUCGGAGAGUCUCUAAAAUUGAAUGGAACUUUGUGAAAAUGUUCUUUGGAAUAUGAGGAUCUGCCAUCCAUCUUUGGUAUUUUCAAAAUGGCCGCUGUUGCCAUGGAAACAGUACAAAUGUUAAAAUUUUCAAAAUGCUUAAAACUUCCAGAAAAUUAGCAGAAUGAUGUGUUGUAAAGUAAAUAUGUCAUUCAAUGUUAAAGAAAUCAAAAUACCUGCCACUUAGUGGCAAUUGGGGAAGGGUGACAUCCGCUAUUGCUUGCCAAUGGCAUUCUAGUUAUUAUUUUUUAUUCUUCCACACAUUUUGUCCAUACUAUUUCUCAAAUUGGGCAACCAAUGUUGAAUGGAACUAUACUAUAAAUGAACCUGCCAUUGGAGUGUGCAGAACAUUGGAAUGGUAAAAAUGGCUGCCGUUACCAUGGAAACAGAACAAAUGUGAAAAAAUCCAGUUUUUGAUUUUGGUGAACUGUUUGGAAUGCUUUAACUCAGAAUCAUUAUAUUUUGAUACAAUGUAGGUGCCCACUAUAUACAGGUUGUUGGAUGAUUUUUGGCACUCAUUGGAACUACUAUGUUGCCAUGGAACUACACCAAAAAUUUCAAAAAUCUCAAAAUGCUCCAAAUUUAACAAAAACUUCACAGUAACGAUGAGCAACAUUGGAAGAUGUGGCAUUUGGAGUUGGAAUUUCCAAAAUAGCUGUUGUUACCAUGGAAACAAUGCAAAAAGGUCAAAACUUUGAAUUUUCACAGAACAUUCCAGAACAUUAAUGUUAAAUUUAUUCUAGAGACAUUAAAUGCUAUAUGAUUAUGGAGGGAAAAAUUGCAGCGGGGGUUUGACUUUGGAAUAUUCAAAAUGGCCGCCGUUACCAUGGAAACAGCAAAAAUAUGAAAAACUUCAAAAUGCUUUAAAUUUAAUGAAACUUAUAACAAAUGUUGCCUAGCUUAUGUAGACUUGACUUUUGAGUUUGGAAUUUUCAAAAUGGCCGCCGUUGCCAUGGAAACAGCAAAAAUUG